GCUUCAUUGUCAAGAGGGAAACAGCCCAGACUACUAGCUAAGGCCCCUAAAUUAUGACUAAGUGAUAAAGGAAGUGGGAAUUCUAAAACAACCAGGAGGUUUGCUUAGAAGCAGCAAUCCUUUAAAGAGUGCGUAAUAGCUCACUGUUCGAGUGAUCCUGCGCCGAAAAUGUACGGGGCUAAGUCAUAUGCCGAAGCUGUAGGAUAUAAAUAAUAUCGGUAGGGGAGCGUUCCAUACUGAUUUGAAGCACUAACGUAAGUGGGUGUGGAUUAGAUGGAAGUGAGAAUGUUGGCUUGAGUAGCGAAAAUAUUGGUGAGAAUCCAAUAUCCCGUAAACCUAAGGGUUCCUCUGGAAGGCUCGUCCACGGGGGGUUAGUCAGGGCCUAAGCCGAGGCGGAAAAGCGUAGGUGAUGGACAACAGGUUAAUAUUCCUGUACUUUUUGUUACUGAUAUAGAGGGACGGAGAAGGCUAGAUUCGCCGAAUGUUGGUUAUCGGUUUAAGUGUUCGAGGUGUUGAGAAACGGUGAAAACGUUUUGAGCUGAGACAUGAUGAGUAAGUGUAGUAAUUACACUGAAUGAA
rnacentral:rRNA from 1 species